AGAGAGAGACAUGCGCGCAUAUCAAUAAGCGGAGGAAAAGAAACUAACUAGGAUUCCCUUAGUAACGGCGAGUGAAGCGGGAAGAGCUCAAAUUUGAAAUCUUCAAGGUUUUACCUUGACGAAUUGUAGUUUAAAGAAGUGUUUUCUGUUGGAGUUUUGGUAAAAGUUCUUUGGAAUAGGACAUCAUAGAGGGUGAGAAUCCCGUAUUUGACCAUUAUUUUCAGCUGUGUGAUACACUUUCAAAGAGUUGGAUUGUUUGGGAAUGCAGUCCAAAAUGGGUGGUAAAUUUCAUCUAAAGCUAAAUAUUGGCGAGAGACCGAUAGCGAACAAGUACCGUGAGGGAAAGAUGAAAAGAACUUUGAAAAGAGAGUUAAACAGUACGUGAAAUUGUCAAAAGGGAAGCGUUUGACACCAGUGUUGUUUUCUCGAAAAUCAAUUAAAAAGAGUUAGAUUUUGUUGUGUAUUGACCUUAACAGCUUGCAUUUCAAUUUUCUUGCUUUUUUUAAUGCACUUUUCGUUUAACAAGUCAACAUCAGUUUCUUUUGUUGUAAAAAGGUCAUUGGAAGGUGGCUUUCUUUUCGGAGAAAGUGUUUAUAGCCUUUGACUCCUGCAAUCGGAGAGACUGAGGUCUGCAGCGUAGAUCCUUCGGGGUUAGAUACAUUUGUGCUAAGUUAUAGCUUUUUAUAGACAACUUGUUGACUAUGAUUAGUCUUGUAGCUUACUCGCUUAUGCUAUUUUACCUACGCUUAGGAUGUUGAUGUGAUACUGCGAGCA
rnacentral:rRNA from 1 species